rnacentral:lncRNA from 1 species
GUAGAAUGGAUUUUACUUUUCAAAGUAAUCUUUACUAUCUUUUACAAUGAACUCAUGCUAUUUUCUGUUUAUGUGUCAAUAAUGAAUACAGAAUGGUUCCAGUAAGUUCCAGAUAUGAGGGAAAAACAUGAGUAACACAAGAAGAAUCUUAUUGCAACAAAGAGGGUAAACACUCUCCUUACUUCUGCUUAUUUUGUUUUUAUUUUCUGAUUUUUCCAUUUUGGGUGUAAACUUAAGAUUGUUUGACACCUGUUAUCUUUUCUAAUGUAAGCAUUCAAUGCUAUAAAUUUUUCUCAAAGCACUGUUUCAGCUAUAUUCCACAAAUUUUGAUAUAUUUUGUUUUCAUUUUAGUUCACUUAAAAAUAUUUUCUAACUCUUUUGAGACUUCUGCUUUUAUCCAUGGAUCAUUCAG